GGAGCCCUCCCGGGUCCUGUUUUCUCGGAGAAUUCUGCAGCCCGCGACUCAAGGCAAUUCGGUUCCACCCGAAACCUCAGCUCCAAAUGCCUUGUUUUAGAAGCUGGGGCUUUGGAGGUUCUGAGGACCGUUCCUGGGGAGGCGGGUGACAGUCUGUGAGGUUCUCGCGGCCCCUCUGGUUCCUGCACAGUUACCGAGGGAGAGGGUGCUAGAAAUGGCUUUGCUGCCGAAUGCAUUAUCUUGCCAUUUUCGUAUCCCGAUACAGCACGCACGAUCGCCUGAUCGAUCGGAAAUAGGAGGGAAAGGUAGAGUGGAAAUUGAUUUCUUGCAGAGACUCAGGCGCCGAAUGAUAGAGGGAAUAAACAUUUGCCCUGGAUAAAAAUGUUCUUGGAGAAUAGCAGCGUGUAAGGGUGAAUUUGAACUAGGGGGCUUUUAAGGAGGCAAUAUGAAGGCUUUAAGGCGCUUCAGUUCUUAUAUUCCAAACCUACACACAGGCUGUGUUCCAGCCCUAAUAAGGACCUAGAGCAGAAGUUUUUCUUCAGUGAUCUAAUUUUACCCAAAAGCUCAUUUCUGUGUUAUGUCUCUGUUUUACGCAGGCUGACAAAUGUUGGUAGGGGGAUGGGUACCCUGAAUUAAAUUUGUUACAAACUCAACCUUAACAGUUGUGAUGUAUUAGACAGCAUAUUUUUUGUGUAAGAUUUAAUAUGCUGCUAAACUUACUUACCUAAAUUGUGAUUCAAAGAAAUACAAUUGUUUUUUGAGGACCCAACUUGACUUAAGUUAGAAAGUAUAAUAUUAAAAUUUUUAUUUUAUAUGUAAAAUAAAUGCAAGAUUGAUGUUCUUUUAAAUAUUUGGAGAAUAAAAAGUACAGGAUUAAAAAAUAUUAAUUCUGUGACCCAUGUUUCCUUAACUUUAACAUAGUUAAUAGCACUUAAAGUUUAUUAAACUAGCUAAGUCUUUGAGCAUUAUACUAAAUCAUAUGAUUAAGUGUGAUGAACCUCAAAAUAGAGCCAUAGGCUUUUACAUCUGUUAGCUAGCUUUUACCUGGUUUGUACUUAGAUCUGUCUCAAAAGUUAUACAUUAUAAGUUUAUACUCAGCAUGUCUUUUCCUGGAUCAUCUCAAUGCACAUCUACAAUGGGUAUCUAAGCACAUUUUAAAUUACUGGUAAUGUUUUUAUUUACUAUCCUGGCUCCUUCUUUUUAGUGGUAUAGGUACCACGUGAUAUAUUUGUUAACUAUUAAUCCACAAAAAUGUCUAAUCUAAAAGCAAUAUUCAAGGUAUAUUGUAUUGGGGAAAUUGUGAGUCAGUUUGCUUUGUCAAUAAAAAUGUCAAUAUGCUUCAGAUUGUUUUAACCUUAAAUCAAAAUUAUAACAAAAAUGUAGAAGAUAAAUAAAUUCAAACUGUUCCCUGCAUAUGAAAGGGUCAUAUCACACACAGGUAUGCAUAUAUAAUUUCCCUCAUUAGAAUAUUUAAAUUUCUUUAGUCUCUGAUAUAUGUUUAUUUUGGUUUUAGAUCUUUCUCUUUGAAAGUGCCUAAAGUUUCUUAAAUACCUAAGUGUGCAGGCAUCUGCUUGCCUUACUCCAUAAAAUGAAUGUGCUGCUAAAUAAACUGAGCUAAUAUAUUUGAAUCUCAAAAAAAGUACAGCACUGUUCCCCACUUAUCCACAGGGGAUACAUUCUAAGACUCUCAGCAGAUGCCUAAAACCAUGGAUAGUAGAGAACCCUAAAUACGCUAUGUUUUUCCUCCACAUACACACCUAUGAUAAAGUUGAAUUUAUGUAUUAGGCACAGUAAGAGUUGAACAAUAAU